rnacentral:rRNA from 1 species
UACGUAGGUGGCAAGCGUUGUUCGGAUUUACUGGGCGUAAAGGGCGCGUAGGCGGCGUGACAAGUCACUUGUGAAAUCUCCGGGCUUAACCCGGAACUGCCAAGUGAUACUGUCGUGCUAGAGUGCGGAAGGGGCAAUCGGAAUUCUCGGUGUAGCGGUGAAAUGCGUAGAUAUCGAGAGGAACACCUGAGGUGAAGACGGGUUGCUGGGCCGACACUGACGCUGAGUGCGCGAAAGCCAGGGGAGCAAACGGG